ACUCAAAUGAAUAGACGGGGGCCCGCACAAGCAGCGGAGCAUGUGGUUUAAUUCGAAGCAACGCGUAGAACCUUACCAGGGCUUGACAUGUAGCGAAUCCUUCAGAGAUGAGGGAGUGCCCGCAAGGGAGCGCUAACACAGGUGGUGCAUGGUUGUCGUCAGCUCGUGUCGUGAGAUGUUGGGUUAAGUCCCGCAACGAGCGCAACCCCUAUUGUAUGUUGCCAGCAGGUAAAGCUGGGCACUCAUGCGAGACUGCCGGUGACAAACCGGAGGAAGGUGGGGAUGACGUCAAAUCAUCAUGCCCCUUAUGUCCUGGGCGACACACGUGCUACAAUGGGCGUCACAAAGCGAACCGAAGCCGCGAGGUGGAGGAAACCGCAAAAGGCGCUCGUAGUUCAGAUCGCAGGCUGCAACUCGCCUGCGUGAAGCCGGAGUUGCUAGUAAUCGCGGAUCAGCACGCCGCGGUGAAUACGUUCCCGGGCCUUGCACACACCGCCCGU
rnacentral:rRNA from 1 species